rnacentral:rRNA from 1 species
GAUGAACGCUGGCGGCGUGCCUAAUACAUGCAAGUCGAGCGAACAGAUAAGGAGCUUGCUCCUUUGACGUUAGCGGCGGACGGGUGAGUUACACGUGGAUAACCUACCUAUAAGACUGGGAUAACUUCGGGAAACCGGAGCUAAUACCGGAUAACAUAUUGAACCGCAUGGUUCAAUAGUGAAAGGCGGCUUUGCUGUCACUUAUAGAUGGAUCCGCGCCGUAUUAGCUAGUUGGUAAGGUAACGGCUUACCAAGGCAACGAUACGUAGCCGACCUGAGAGGGUGAUCGGCCACACUGGAACUGAGACACGGUCCAGACUCCUACGGGAGGCAGCAGUAGGGAAUCUUCCGCAAUGGGCGAAAGCCUGACGGAGCAACGCCGCGUGAGUGAUGAAGGUCUUCGGAUCGUAAAACUCUGUUAUCAGGGAAGAACAAAUGUGUAAGUACCUGUGCACAUCUUGACGGUACCUGAUCAGAAAGCCACGGCUAACUACGUG